rnacentral:rRNA from 1 species
CCCUUAGAUGUUCUGGGCCGCACGCGCGCUACACUGAUUCAUGCAACAAGUUUUGUCCUUGGCUGAUAGGCCUGGGUAAUCUUUGAACGUGAAUCGUGAUGGGGAUAGAUGAUUGCAAUUAUUCAUCUUCAACGAGGAAUUCCUAGUAAACGCAGUUCAUCAAACUGCAUUGAUUACGUCCCUGCCCUUUGUACACACCGCCCGUCGCACCUACCGAUUGAAUGGUCCGGUGAAGCCUCGGGAUUGUGGCUGGUCUCCUUUAUUGGGGGUCGGUCGCGAGAACUUGUCUAAACCUUNUNAUUUAGNGGAAGGUGAANUCGUANCA